GCCUGCCCAGUGAAAACUUUUAAACGGCCGCGGUAUCCUAACCGUGCAAAGGUAGCGUAAUCACUUGUCUUCCAAAUAAAGACCAGUAUGAACGGCUAAAUGAGGACAAACCUGUCUCCUACAACCAAUCAGUGAAAUUGAUCUUCCAGUACAAAAGCUGGAAUAACAGCAUUAGACGAGAAGACCCUGUGGAGCUUAAAACACACCUAGUACAAACAAACAACUAGCAUAAGUUUUGAGUUGGGGCGACUUCGGAAAAAAACAAAACUUCCGAGCACAGAAUCACCAGUUCUAACCGAGGCAAACAGGCCAAAGCAAAACUCGACCCAGUCCACACUGAUCAACGAACCAAGUUACCCCAGGGAUAACAGCGCCAUCCUCUUCAAGAGCCCAUAUCGACAAGAGGGUUUACGACCUCGAUGUUGGAUCAGGGCACCCCAAUGGUGCAACCGCUAUUAAAGGUUCGUUUGUUCAACGAUUAACAGCCCUACGUGAUCUGAGUUCA
rnacentral:rRNA from 1 species